UACGUAGGAGACGAGCGUUGUCCGGAGUUACUGGGCGUAAAGGGUGCGCAGGUGGCGGCGCGCGUGGGGGGUGAAAUCGCCCGGCUUAACUGGGCGGGGGCCUUCCAGACGGCGUGGCUUGAGCAGCGGAGGGGGACGUGGAAUUCCGGGUGGAGCGGUGAAAUGCGUAGAGAUCCGGAGGAACACCAGCGGCGAAGGCGGCGCUCUGGGCCGGGAACUGACGCUGAGGAGCGAAAGCGUGGGUAGCAAACAGG
rnacentral:rRNA from 1 species